rnacentral:rRNA from 1 species
GCUUACGGCCAUACCAGCCUGGGUACGCCCGAUCUUGUCAGAUCUCGGAAGCUAAGCAGGGUCGGGCCUGGUUAGUACUUGGAUGGGAGACCGCCUGGGAAUACCAGGUGCUGUAAGCA